rnacentral:misc_RNA from 1 species
GAUGAAGAACGUAGCGAAAUGCGAUAAGUAGUGUGAAUUGCAGAUUUCAGUGAAUCAUCGAAUCUUUGAACGCACAUUGCGCCCUUUGGUAUUCCUUAGGGCAUGCCUGUUCGAGCGUCAUUUAAACCUUCAAGCUCAGCUUGGUGAUGGGUGACUGUCCGCUGCCUCCCCCCGGGGUGCGCCGCGGACUCGCCUCAAAACGAUUGGCGGCCGGUACGUUGGCUUCGAGCGCAGCAGAAACGCGUAACACGAGGUCCCCGUGGCGGCUCCCAGAAGCAACCUUAUUAUUUUGACCUCGGAUCAGGUAGGGAUACCCGCUGAACUUAAGCAUAUCAAUAAGCGGAGGA